rnacentral:lncRNA from 1 species
GAGUAACUAGGUUGUAGUAGGAUGAAGAUGUUGCCCUCGUGUCUUAGGGAGUAAGGGACAUUAGUAAAACAUACUGAUAUCUCAGCUAGUGGGUAUGAGUGGAAAGGAGCAGGAAAGCAUUUAAACAGGGAUUUCUACUGUGCUGGCAGAAAGUAGAGGAGGGGGCUUGAGAGAUGGCACAGCUGUUGAGAACAUUCAUUGUUCCUCCAGAGAAUCUGGGUUUCCAGCACCCACAUAAGGGUUCACAUCCAUUAGUAACCAAUUCUAGAUGAUCUAACAACCUCUGGAAUUCUGGGAGCACUAGGUAUGCAUGUGGUACAUAUGACAAACAUGCAGAUUGUGACAGUUUGAAUAUGCUUGGCCCAGGGAGUGGCACUAUUAGGAAGUAUAUAGUCUUGUUGGAGUAGGUGUGUCAUUGUGGGCAUGGACUUUUAGACCCUUGCCCUAGCUAUCUGGAAGCCAGUAUUCUGCUAGUAACCUUCAGAUGAAGAUGUAGAACUCUCAGCUCUACAUCUGUACCAUGCCUGUCUGGAUGCUGCCGUGCUCCCUCCUUGAUAAUAAUGAACUGAACCCCUGAACCUAUAAUUAAAUGUUGUCCUUUAUAAGACUUACAUUGGUCAUGGUGUCUGUUCAAAGCAGUAAAACCGUAACUCAGACACAGACAAACACAUAAAAUUACAUUUCUUAAAAGAAAGACAAA